CACAUUCCAACCGCUGGAAAGCAACACAGUGAUAUAUAUAAGAAAUUAACAUAACACGUUUAUAGAAUCUUUUUUGCGUGAAGUCAAUUGUGCAGGGGCGCGAACCACUUCUCUGGGAGUCCUUGCCGCCGUGGUGCUCCCCGCAGUCAAUUCCAGUAGUCUCCUCCUUCCCAUUACUGUGUCGUUCACUGAGCCGCUUUCCCUCCCUCUAACACGGGUCCGAAACCUAGCAUUUAAGAUUUGAAUGUCAUAGAGUACAGAGCAGGGCAUCCGGCUCCAGCUAUUACAAGCUCCUCCUGCUAUCAUAAGCUUUUAUGGUGAUUUAGAGUAUGUAAUAGAAGAUUUUGGAGUCAAUGAAAGAGAGGGAAAAAGUAUAGAUGAUAUGAGAUACAACUUGCUCACAAACAGGUUUGGAUGGUUUCUUCCAUUCAUAGGGGAGAAGAAGAAAUAAUAUUAAGAGUUCACACUACCCUUAUGCAAUUGCAAAAAAACUGGAGAAGGAAGGAUAAAAUGUAAUUUUGAGGUCCCAAUAUAAGAAGCUUAAGCCGGAAUGGGUGUGUUUAUGUAGCUGUGUCUCAGAUUUUGGUCUAAUGAAAACAGACAAUAAAGGAAUGGUGAUUUCAUUCAGUGAGAAGCCUAAAGGAGAAGACCUGAAAGCAAUGCAAGUAGAUACAACACUCUUGAGACUUUCAUGGGAAGAGGCUGAAAAGAAACCAUACAUUGCUUCCAUGGGAGUGUAUGUGUUCAAGAAGGACUUACUUUUUAAUCUACUAAGGUA